AGAAGGAAUAGAUCGUAUUUCUCUCAAAGACAUUCAGUAUUUGAUUGGUCAGUACAUUCGACUGGGAGAUGGGCUGAAAAAAUGUCAGUAACCAAAGAAAAUAUAUAUGUGUGUGUGCUUGCUUGUCUGCAACAUCAUUUUAUGGCCCUGAGUGAAUCCAUGCAAAUCCAAUCCAUGACGUAAAGUAAUGUAAUGUGAUCCUCCACUACAAACAAUAUGGCGGCGCCCGGUGGUGCUAAACUUCUAUCAAGAGCAGGAUUGGGGGGUUUCCUCCAGAGGGUGUGUGGUCUGUGGGGGUGUGGCUCACCCUGGGGUGUCCAAUCCCAGCAGCACCGACAGUUCUUCUGGAGGAAGUGGAAGAGCUCUCGCAGUGUAGUCAGACCGGCUGUCGUCAGACCAGCCUACUCAGUGCCCAAGCAUAUCCUGAGGCCUGACUAUGUGAACAGUGGUCAGGUCCCAGACUGGCCAGACUACAUAGAGAUCAAAGACCAGGAGCAGAUUCAAGGCCUGACCAGAGCCUGCCAGCUAGCCAGACAGAUACUGCUGCUAGCCGGACGCAGUCUCAAGAUUGGCAUGAUGACAGACGAGAUAGAUUUUAUUGUCCACCAGGAGACGAUUCGUCACAACGCGUACCCCUCUCCCCUGAGAUAUGGGGGGUUCCCCAAAUCAGUCUGCACCUCUGUCAAUAAUGUGGUCUGCCAUGGCAUACCUGACACCCGACAACUGCAAGAUGGCGACAUUAUCAACGUUGAUGUGACUGUCUAUCUGGAGGGUUACCAUGGUGACACUUCAGAGACAUUCCUGAUUGGCUGUGUGGACGAGGUGGGGCGAAAGCUAGUGAAGACAGCCAGGAAGUGUAGAGAUGAUGCCAUUGCUGCCUGUAAACCUGGGGCUCCACUGUGUGUUAUAGGUAACACUAUCAGUGAAAUAGCCCAGUCCAAUGGUUUCCAUGUGUGUCCCUACUUCAUUGGGCAUGGCAUAGGCUCCUACUUCCAUUGCCAUCCUGAGAUCUGGCACCAUGCUAAUGCCAAUGAUAUGACCAUGGAUGAAGGGAUGGCCUUCACUAUAGAGCCUAUAUUGAUGGAAGGAUCGUCAGAGUUCAGAAUCCUGAAGGACAAGUGGACAGCAGUGUCUGCAGAUGACAAGAGGUCAGCCCAGUUUGAACACACAGUAGUCAUCACCUCUGACGGUGUGGAUAUUCUCACCAAACUACCCGAGGAGGAUGAGCCAUCGCCAAUAGGAGUCUAAUCCCUCUUUUCAGAUCAGCUGUUCACACCCCAGUCACAUCAACAUCUAUGAAGAGGAAAUCAAAUGAAUUCUAAUCUGGGGACCACAUUCUUCUCUGAUUGACGGCAUCAUAUGAUUAUCUUGUGUUAACGUUGUUAGGACUGCAAGGUUUGCAGAGUAUCAUAAGUCCGCUGGACUGAUCAUGUCAUGAUGUUAUUGAUGCUGCGUUGUUUGGCUGCAUGUGUGACGUAUUCAGCCCUACUAAUAGUCUCUGAUCACAUCAACCUCCAGCUCUACAUUGUUAGUAACUUAUUUAGUUUUUCCUCUAGACCAAUUAGAUACCGUGCUUUUAGGUUAUUUCCACUAAUUCUAUUGAAGCGAUGCCUUUUAAGUUCCUUAGGCCACAUUCUUGUCAUAUGUACAAUAUGGCACAUUUAUUACACAAUGUUCAAUAUCAAUGUUAUUCUCAAACAUACAGGAAUUUGUUUAAAAUAAACUGGUCAUAAACUGUUUAUCUGCUAAAUAAAAAUUGCUCAUAUUCCUGCCAGGUGAAAGCAGAGUCCACACAUAGAUUUUCCCAUUAGCAGGUUUUCAUUAUCUUUCAUCCUGUUUAUCAAUAAAUUGAACCCACAUCAACUGAAGGAUUGUGUGGCUGAUAUAGUACUGGACUCUGCUGGGAGAGUGCCACAGAGUCUGUUGCCGAGUACCAAGAGUAGUUACUGUAAAAGGAUGAGUUGCUUGGAGGGAUACAGUUCUGCUCAUUGCUUGAGCCUCCUGUCUCAGUAAUACCAUGGGGGGCCCAGUGCACCGUUGUAGCCUGAGGAGAGCUGCUGGACCUAGGGGAGGCACACGGGGUCUCCGGCUGUUCCAGUGGCAUCUGGCUGUUUCUACAUAGCUUCUUCAACUUUGAGCGACGGUUCUGGAACCAAAUCUUCACCUGGGAGAGGAAGUAUAGAUGGUGUUUGAAAUUCCAGUCGUACAAGCACACUGCUACCUCCAGACAAGUGCUACCUCUUGGCAGAAAGCGUAGUGCACUUGUAUACAAUACAAUGCACUUACUGUACAUAUGAAAUACAUUUAGCAUAUAAUGAAAAUAAUAUUUGAAAUCAUAAAUGAUUAUCAUUGAGGUCCAUCAUGGUCAGAAAAUGAACAUGGUGCACCUGUGUCUGUGUGAGUCCCAGUGAAGCGGCCAGCUCCGCACGCUCAGGUAGCGCCAGAUACUGCCUCGUUCGGAACCUGCACUGGAGCGCGCACAGCUGCAGGCUGGAGUAGAUGGUUCUGGGCUUCCGGACUUUCUUUUGUUUUCCCUUUACCAUUCGGACUUCUGGCUCUUUCUCUGAGAAAAUGUGUAUGACCAUUAAUAGUAGUACUAUCAUUGAUUAACACAAUGUAUCCUGUAAUAUGAAUAAAACAAAACCUGGCAUAAA